rnacentral:rRNA from 1 species
AACGAACGCUGGCGGCAUGCCUAACACAUGCAAGUCGAACGAGACCUUCGGGUCUAGUGGCGCACGGGUGCGUAACGCGUGGGAACCUGCCCUUAGGUUCGGAAUAACUCCCCGAAAGGGGUGCUAAUACCGGAUAAUGUCUUCGGACCAAAGAUUUAUCGCCUUUGGAUGGGCCCGCGUUGGAUUAGCUAGUUGGUAGGGUAAAAGCCUACCAAGGCGACGAUCCAUAGCUGGUCUGAGAGGAUGAUCAGCCACACUGGGACUGAGACACGGCCCAGACUACUACGGGAGGCAGCAGUGGGGAAUAUUGGACAAUGGGCGAAAGACUGAUCAAGCAAUGCCGCGUGAGUGAUGAAGGCCUUAGGGUUGUAAAGCUCUUUUACCCGGGAUGAUAAUGACAGUACCGGGAGAAUAAGCUCCGGCUAACUCCGUG